rnacentral:rRNA from 1 species
GUCGUAACAAGGUCUCCGUUGGUGAACCAGCGGAGGGAUCAUUAGAGAGUUCUCAUAAAACUCCCAAACCCAUGUGAACAUACCUUCUGUUGCCUCGGCAGGUCGCGCCGGCGCCUCACCGCGUAGCCACCCUACCCUGUAGGGCCUACCCGGGAACGCGCCGGCGGGGUCCCCCUGCCGGCGGCCCACGAAACUCUGUUUAGCAUAUUGAAAUUCUGAACGUAUAACUAAAUCAGUUAAAACUUUCAACAACGGAUCUCUUGGUUCUGGCAUCGAUGAAGAACGCAGCGAAAUGCGAUAAGUAAUGUGAAUUGCAGAAUUCAGUGAAUCAUCGAAUCUUUGAACGCACAUUGCGCCCAUUAGUAUUCUAGUGGGCAUGCCUGUUCGAGCGUCAUUUCAACCCUCAAGCCCCCGUUGCUUGGUGUUGGGAGCCUACGGGGUCACCCGUAGCUCCUCAAAGUUAGUGGCGGAGUCGGUUCACACUCUAGACGUAGUAGAUUUUCACCUCGCCUGUAGUGUUGGACCGGUCCCCUGCCGUAAAACACCCCUAUUUUCCAAAGGUUGACCUCGGAUCAGGUAGGAAUACCCGCUGAACUUAAGCAUAUCAAUAA